rnacentral:rRNA from 1 species
UACGUAGGGUCCGAGCGUUGUCCGGAAUUAUUGGGCGUAAAGGGCUCGUUGGCGGUUCGUCACGUCGGGAGUGAAAACUCGGGGCUUAACCCCGAGCCUGCUUCCGAUACGGGCAGACUAGAGGUAGGCAGGGGAGAGCGGAACUCCUGGUGUAGCGGUGGAAUGCGCAGAUAUCAGGAAGAACACCGGUGGCGAAGGCGGCUCUCUGGGCCUUACCUGACGCUGAGGAGCGAAAGCGUGGGUAGCGAACAGG